rnacentral:tRNA from 1 species
UGGGGUGUCGCCAAGUGGUAAGGCAGCGGGUUUUGAUCCCGUCAUUCGCAGGUUCGAAUCCUGCCACCCCAG